CUCUGCCCUCCAUCACAUCUUUCCUGCAUCACGUCUUUCCUGCCUGUCUCCCUGCCUGGCAGGUCUACUCUGUCCAGGUGCUGCAACGCCCCUGCCUUUCUCUUCACCACCCAGAAGAACACUCCCCUGGGGACAAAGCUCAAGUAUGAGGUGGACACCAGUGGCAUCUACCACAUCAACCAGGAGAUCUUCCGCAUGUUUCCCAAGGACAUGCCCUACUACCGGUCUCAGUUUAAGAAGUGUGCUGUAGUGGGCAACGGAGGCAUCUUGAAGAACAGCCGCUGUGGGAGGGAGAUCAACAGCGCCGACUUCGUCUUCCGGUGCAACCUGCCCCCCAUCUCAGAGAAGUACACCAUGGACGUGGGGGUGAAGACGGAUGUGGUCACUGUGAACCCCAGCAUCAUCACAGAGAGGUUCCACAAGCUGGAGAAGUGGCGGCGGCCGUUCUAUCGCGUGCUGCAGGUGUACGAGAACGCGUCGGUGCUGCUGCCUGCCUUCUACAACACGCGCAACACCGACGUGUCCAUCCGCGUCAAAUACGUGCUGGACGACUUCG
rnacentral:sRNA from 1 species